GAUGCACGCUGGCGGCGUGCCUAAUACAUGCAAGUCGAGCGAACAGACGAGGAGCUUGCUCCUCUGACGUUAGCGGCGGACGGGUGAGUAACACGUGGAUAACCUACCUAUAAGACUGGGAUAACUUCGGGAAACCGGAGCUAAUACCGGAUAAUAUAUUGAACCGCAUGGUUCAAUAGUGAAAGACGGUUUUGCUGUCACUUAUAGAUGGAUCCGCGCCGCAUUAGCUAGUUGGUAAGGUAACGGCUUACCAAGGCAACGAUGCGUAGCCGACCUGAGAGGGUGAUCGGCCACACUGGAACUGAGACACGGUCCAGACUCCUACGGGAGGCAGCAGUAGGGAAUCUUCCGCAAUGGGCGAAAGCCUGACGGAGCAACGCCGCGUGAGUGAUGAAGGUCUUCGGAUCGCAAAACUCUGUUAUUAGGGAAGAACAAAUGUGUAAGUAACUAUGCACGUCUUGACGGUACCUAAUCAGAAAGCCACGGCUAACUACGUG
rnacentral:rRNA from 1 species